CCCGGUGUUUUAAGACGUGCAGCAAAACGAGCUUUCUGGCCUCGUGCCCGCUUCCUGCUAGCUAGUCGGUGAGGGCCAAAGUAAGAAGAGAGAGGUAAAGAAGAGGCGGGAACGAACAUAACCUCGACAGAAUUGUGUGAAAGGAAUUCAGAGAUGCGCUGUCUCUUCUCAUCCUUCGUGGCUCCAUCAGGGCUCGUUUAGGAGGGGAGAAUUGGCGAUAUCAUCCUCCUUACAUCAGUUAUGUAUACAAAGAAUUGGAGGGAACAAUUUUGGCCAAUGAAUUGUUCAGAGGAAUAAUCUAAAUCAAAACACCCCCUGCUAGAUGGCUAUUCCACCUCUGCUUCAAGACAUUCUUAAUAACAGGCUUUGAAAUGAAGCUCAUUAAUUAGGGAGCUACAAGGAGGUGUCCCCAAACCCCGGUCCAUGGGCCAGUACUGGGCCAUGCAUGCCAGCAACCGGUCUG